CAGCAGCCGCGGGAAUACGUAGGGUGCAAGCGUUAAUCGGAAUUACUGGGCGUAAAGCGUGCGCAGGCGGUUAUAUAAGACAGAUGUGAAAUCCCCGGGCUCAACCUGGGAACUGCAUUUGUGACUGUAUAGCUAGAGUACGGCAGAGGGGGAUGGAAUUCCGCGUGUAGCAGUGAAAUGCGUAGAUAUGCGGAGGAACACCGAUGGCGAAGGCAAUCCCCUGGGCCUGUACUGACGCUCAUGCACGAAAGCGUGGGGAGCAAACAGGAUUAGAUACCCCAGUAGUCCCUGUCUCUUAUAC
rnacentral:rRNA from 1 species